GGUGAUGUGGCUCAGUUGGUAGAGUGAUUGCCUAGCAUGCACCAGGCCCUGGGUUCAAUCCCCAGCACCACACA
rnacentral:tRNA from 1 species